UCAAUUCUUCUACUUAUGUACCUGUUGGUAGAUCUCAUGCGCUCCUAAGCUAGUUUUGGUUCUUGUAAGUAAUACAAUUUCUGAUGUACUCUAAAAGAACUCUGAUAACAUUCAGUGGUCCAAUUCCAAGUUGCAUAUCUGUAUGCAUAAGAGAAACUCGAAUUUAGAUUCUUUUCAUCAAUUUAUAUUUCAUUGGGAUCAUAAUUAUAGUUGGAGCAUCCAUCAUCAUUCAAUUUUAAACUUUGGUAUCCAAUGAAAAAUAGAGACAUAAUUUCAUUUAUGUUAUAUCUAUGAAAAAUAUAUAUAAAAGUUGGUAUCUUAAUUUUUUCAGAUACAUCUAGGCUUAAACUCUUCAAAAUGUUUGUGAAUAAUUGCUACAGUGAGCAAGAAAAAUCAUAACGCCUAAAAUUAGUGGCCCUAAAGUAAUAAAUAUAAUUGCUAGAAUCUGCUAUCUAUUUCCCUCAGUUGAUGUUCAUGUUAUGUGUGCAUGUGUGCACACAUGAGAAGAAACAACUUUUUCUAAAUGAUACUCUAUUGCACACUUAUGUUUGGACGCGAAAGAAAAACAUGUCUCAGAAGAGGAAAAGAAAAAAAAAAAAAGAAGUCUUGGUCUUCUGCUCCUCAUUUUGCCGCCCGCGCCAAGAUCCGCAAGACCGCCCAGAAGCUCCUCCUCAACCACCUCAAGGCGAAGAGGCUUGAAGAAUUGGCAGCCGAGAUCAAGAAGCGGAAGGAAGGAUCGAAGAAGAAGCAGAUUACGGACGAGGACACAAAGGGGAAAAAGGUGUUGGAUUCGAAUGAUGAAAUUGGGGCUGAAGGAAGCAGCGUUCUACCUCGUGGUGAUAUGGAAUCAGGGGUUUCUUCCCAGGAAAACCAAGAUGAGCUAUUGGCUGCAUCCCUUGCUGCGGAGGAAGAGAUGGAGAUCAAUAAGAAUGUGCUUACAUCCGAGGGUGGUCUGGAUGAAGCGGAGGAUGACAAUGAUGAGAAUGAAGAAAUGAUUUUUCCAAUGGAUAACAUCCAUAUAGAUCCAGCAGUUCUAGCCUCCUUGCCUCCAUCAAUGCAAUUGGAUCUUCUUGUUCAGAUGAGGGAGAGCAUCAUGGCUGAGAACAGGCAGAAAUAUCAGAAAAUUAAAAAGGACUCACACAAACAAGCUGGUAUUGUCUACAAUGGCGGUUUGGUGCCUCUUCUUAAACUUCUUGACUCGAAAAAUAGAUGUUUGCAACAUAAUGCUGCAUUUGCUCUUUAUGGUAUUGCAGAGAAUGAGGAUAAUGUCUCUGAUUUUAUCAAGGUAGGAGGUGUUCAGAAGCUACAAGAUGGUGAAUUCAUUAUCCAGGCAACUAAGGACCGUGUAGCAAAGACAAUGAAGAGAUUAGAGGAGAAGAUUAAUGGGCCAGUACUAAAGCAUUUAUUAUAUCUGAUGCGAGUUGGAGAGAAGGUUGUCCAAAGACGUAUAGCUUUGGCUCUUGCUCAUUUAUGUUUACCUGAGGAUCAAAGAACUAUUUUCAUUGAUGAUGAUGGACUUGAUCUUCUUCUCGAACUACUGGGAUCGACUAAUCUAAAACAACAGCAAGAUGCAUCAGUCGCUCUUUACAAGGUGUACCUGGGCGAGCAGUAUGUGAAUAGCUCCACGCUAUUAGAUGGUACCUUUCUAGUUGAAGGUUGUGGACUAUUCUUACCAUAUGUAGUUUUUUCCUUUAAACAAUUGCAUAGCACAUUUAAAGUUGUAGCAACUUAUGUAUGCUACAUUCCUCAUUUAAAAGGAAGCUAUUAGUUGUGUGCGCUAAAUAUCUAAAUGUUCAUUAUCUGUUCUUUUCCAGGCAAGUGCUUUUAUGCACACAGAAUUGCUCUGUUUGCUUCUUCGGAUGCAUUUUGUGCAAUGUUUGAUGGUGUCUACCGGGGUGUCCUCAAUAUCAAAGUAAAGAUCAUGUUGGAUUAGGAUCUUAAAGUAAAGCAGGGCUCCAUGACUCCUUUGCCAGAUCAUGUUACAAUUCAUACCCCAAAGGAGGAAGAGGAGUUAAUCCUACCACUUGUUCUGCCUCUAGAGAUUUAAUUUGAAUGCUACAACUUUUGCAAAAGGAAUUAGGAUUACAUUUCUUCUUGAUAAGCAUGCGGCAGGUAACAAGCCAAAGUUCUUCUGAUUUAUGUGCUUGUACUAGUCCUAGAUUAACACGAAGGAAGAUUGGGAGUCUCUAGGCCCAUAUCUUAGUUUGUUCCAAUCUUCUCAGGAGCGUCAUUUGUUCUUAUCAUUUGUUUUGGUACCCAACAUGGUUACCCCUUAUUUCGACAAUUUUUACUGUUUUGUAGACUUGAUAUUAGUUAUUUGAAUUCGUUUGUAACUUCCAAAGCUGGAAUAGUAGACUCAGAUUGAUUGUCUAAAUUCAUUCAAAAUUCUGAAUAUUAGUUAAUAGAUGCAAUUUGAUCAUUUUUUCGUGUGCUAAGAUGAAUGGUAUAUUCUUCUAUCUCAAUUGUCUUGUAUUUCUUAACGGUGGCUUAUUAGUUGUUGAUACUCAGAGUUCUUAUUCAUCUAACAAAUUUAACAUGAUGCAGGCGUUCUUCUCGCUAUUGAGAAGCUCGCAUCAGGCCAUCUCCGGCGGCACCACCAUCAAAACGGUUGAGUCCACCUUCACGGAGGCCGCGACAGACACGGUCACCGGCGAUAGCUUCGUUGGGCGGAAGAGAAAUAGAGAGGAAUCUUCUACUCUCUCAAUAUCAAAGUAAAGAUCAUGUUGGAUUAGGAUCUUAAAGUAAAGCAGGGCUCCAUGACUCCUUUGCCAUAUCAUGUUACAAUUCAUAGCGAGAAGAACGCCUGCAUCAUGUUAAAUUUGUUAGAUGAAUAAGAACUCUGAGUAUCAACAACUAAUAAGCCACCGUUAAGAAAUACAAGACAA